rnacentral:rRNA from 1 species
AUUGAACGCUGGCGGCAGGCCUAACACAUGCAAGUCGAACGAGUGGCGGACGGGUGAGUAAUGUCUGGGAAACUGCCUGAUGGAGGGGGAUAACUACUGGAAACGGUCGCUAAUACCGCAUACCAUCAGAUGUGCCCAGAUGGGAUUAGCUAGUUGGUGGGGUAACGGCUCACCAAGGCGACGAUCCCUAGCUGGUCUGUGAGGAUGACCAGCACAACUGGAACUGAGACACGGUCCAGACUCCUACGGUAGGUAGCAGUGGGGAAUAUUGCACAAUGGGCGCAAGCCUGAUGCAGCCAUGCCGCGUGUAUGAAGAAGGCCUUCGGGUUUGAAAGUACUUUCAGCGGGGAGGCGUUACCCGCAGAAGAAGCACCGGCUAACGCCGGGCCAGCAGCCGCGGUAAUUC